AUUGAACGCUGGCGGCAUGCCUUACACAUGCAAGUCGAACGGCAGCACGGGAGCUUGCUCCUGGUGGCGAGUGGCGAACGGGUGAGUAAUGCAUCGGAACGUACCCGGAAGUGGGGGAUAACGUAGCGAAAGUUACGCUAAUACCGCAUAUUCUGUGAGCAGGAAAGAGGGGGAUCGCAAGACCUCUCGCUUUCGGAGCGGCCGAUGUCGGAUUAGCUAGUUGGUGGGGUAAAGGCCUACCAAGGCGACGAUCCGUAGCGGGUCUGGGAGGAUGAUCCGCCACACUGGAGCUGAGACACGGUCCAGACUCCUACAGGAGGCAGCAGUAGGGAAUUAUGGACAAUGGGCGAAAGCCUGAUCCAGCCAUGCCGCGUGAGUGAAGAAGGCCUUCGGGUUGUAAAGCUCUUUCGGCUGAAAAGAAAUCGCACAGGCUAAUACCCUGUGUGGAUGACGGUAUCAGCAUAAGAAGCACCGGCUAACUACGUGCCAGCCGCCGCGGUAA
rnacentral:rRNA from 1 species